ACGAACGCUGGCGGCGUGCUUAACACAUGCAAGUGGAGCGACGAACCAGGGCUUGCCCUGGGGCAAAGCCGCGAACGGGUGAGUAACACGUGGGUAACCUGCCCCGAAGACCGGGACAACCCGAGGAAACUCGGGCUAAUACCGGAUGUGGUUGCUUUUCAUAAGUAGAGUAAGCAGAGGGAGCUUCGGCCCCCGCUUCGGGAUGGGCCCGCGGCCCAUUAGCUUGUUGGUGAGGUAACGGCUCACCAAGGCGACGAUGGGUAGCUGGUCUGAGAGGACGAUCAGCCACACUGGGACUGAGACACGGCCCAGACUCCUACGGGAGGCAGCAGUGGGGAAUCUUGCGCAAUGGGCGACAGCCUGACGCAGCAACGCCGCGUGAGGGAAGAAGGCUUUCGGGUCGUAAACCUCUUUCAGGAGGGACGAAGCUUCGGGAGUGAAUAGCUCUCCGGAGUGACGGUACUUCCACAAGAAGCCCCGGCCUAACUACGUGCCAGCAGCCGCGGUAAUACGUAGGGGGCUAGCGUUGUCCGGAAUCAUUGGGCGUAAAGAGCGCGUAGGCGGCCAGAUAAGUCCGGUGUGAAAGUCAAAGGCUCAACCUUUGAAUGCCGCUGGAAACUGUCUGGCUAGAGUCCGGGAGGGGCGAGUGGAAUUCCUGGUGUAGCGGUGAAAUGCGCAGAUAUCAGGAGGAACACCAAUGGCGAAGGCAGCUCGCUGGAACGGUACUGACGCUGAGGCGCGAAAGCGUGGGGAGCAAACAGGAUUAGAUACCCUGGUAGUCCACGCUGUAAACGAUGGGCACUAGGUGUGGGAGGUGUCGACUCCUCCCGUGCCGUAGCUAACGCAUUAAGUGCCCCGCCUGGGGAGUACGGCCGCAAGGCUAAAACUCAAAGGAAUUGACGGGGACCCGCACAAGCAGCGGAGCAUGUGGUUCAAUUCGACGCAACGCGAAGAACCUUACCUGGGCUUGACAUGUUGGUGACAGCCUUGGAAACAAGGUCUCCCUUCGGGGCACCUUCACAGGUGGUGCAUGGCUGUCGUCAGCUCGUGCCGUGAGGUGUUGGGUUAAGUCCCGCAACGAGCGCAACCCCCGCCCCAUGUUGCCAGCGGUUCGGCCAGGGACUCAUGGGGGACUGCCGGUGACAAACCGGAGGAAGGUGGGGAUGACGUCAAGUCAUCAUGCCCCUUAUGCCCAGGGCUACACACGUGCUACAUUGGCCGCCACAGAGGGUUGCGAUACCGCGAGGUGGAGCGAAUCCCAAAAAGGCGGUCUCGGUUCGGAUUGGAGGCUGAAACUCGCCUCCAUGAAGGUGGAGUUGCUAGUAAUCGCAGAUCAGCAAUGCUGCGGUGAAUACGUUCCCGGGUCUUGUACACACCGCCCGUCACACCACGAAAGUCAGCAACACCCGAAGCCGGUGGCCUAACCCGCAAGGGAGGGAGCCGUCGAAGGUGGGGCCGGCGAUUGGGGUG
rnacentral:rRNA from 1 species